ACUUAACUAUAACCACUGAACCAUGAAAAUGAGGUCAAGAACAUUGGACAUGUGACUGACGGAAACUUCCUAACAUGAGGCAUCUAUAUACCAAGUAUGACGCUUCCAGGUCUUCCACCUUCUAAAAUAUUAAGCUUUUAAGCACUUAGCUAACGCCGCCGCCGGAUCACUAUCCCUAUAAAAAUUAACAAUUACAGAGAGGC
rnacentral:lncRNA from 1 species